GCCAGCAGCGAUAGCAGAUUAAAUAUACCUACCAGUUCCCAACGGAUCACUAAAGUUAAGCGACGUUCCGCGUGGUUAAUAUCCGCAUGGGUGACCAUAUGGACAAUGGCGUCCUGCUGACU
rnacentral:rRNA from 1 species